rnacentral:lncRNA from 7 species
UUCGCACGUAGAGUCUCCUCUGUAGGCGGCGAUGGGGACAGAGAGACCGGCCAGGCUACCGGUGGCGAGUGGCGACGAAGAGGAGCGAGCGCAGUUACGGGCGUCGACCGUGACCAAUUCGUCCCGUCGUUCCAUGGAUGUGUUUCCGGCGCCGGUCGCGGCUAGUUCGCGCCGCCGAUAUCUGGCACCUAUGGGAGAUCAAUGAAUGUGCCGGCGAGGAUGACGUCUGGUGGUCGUGGCUUCGAGGUUGAUUAAUCGCCGUGGAUGAAAUGUGCACAUGAUCAGUAAUUGGCGUUAUUGGAAUUCCCUCAGUGCCUGAUGCAUACUGACCAGCGUGAGUGCAUAGUGAUUAUAUUAAAAAAAGCAAGUUCUAAGGUUAAUUUUACAAAACCACAUAAAAACUAUGUUACCAAAUGAUUUUUAAAAAUGGCUUUCCUCUCCUAGAAAAGCUGCUCGCACUCAGAGUUAGAACCAAAACUACUUUUGCAAAAGUUAAAGCCCUAUCAAAGAACCCU